rnacentral:rRNA from 1 species
UACAGAGGGUGCAAGCGUUAAUCGGAAUUACUGGGCAUAAAGCGCGCGUAGGUGGUUUGUUAAGUUGAAUGUGAAAUCCCCGGGCUCAACCUGGGAACUGCAUCCAAAACUGGCAAGCUAGAGUAAGGUAGAGGGUGGUGGAAUUUCCUGUGUAGCGGUGAAAUGCGUAGAUAUAGGAAGGAACACCAGUGGCGAAGGCGACCACCUGGACUGAUACUGACACUGAGGUGCGAAAGCGGGGGGAGCAAACAGGAUUAGAUACCCUGGUAGUCCACGCCGUAAACGAUGUCAACUAGCCGUUGGGAGCCUUGAGCUCUUAGUGGCGCAGCUAACGCAUUAAGUUGACCGCCUGGGGAGUACGGCCGCAAGGUUAAA